rnacentral:rRNA from 1 species
GCUAAGUGUUAGAGGGUUUCCGCCCUUUAGUGCUGAAGUUAACGCAUUAAGCACUCCGCCUGGGGAGUACGGCCGCAAGGCUGAAACUCAAAGGAAUUGACGGGGGCCCGCACAAGCGGUGGAGCAUGUGGUUUAAUUCGAAGCAACGCGAAGAACCUUACCAGGUCUUGACAUCCUCUGAAAACCCUAGAGAUAGGGCUUCUCCUUCGGGAGCAGAGUGANCAGGUGGUGCAUGGUUGUCGUCAGCUCGUGUCGUGAGAUGUUGGGUUAAGUCCCGCAACGAGCGCAACCCUUGAUCUUAGUUGCCAUCAUUAAGUUGGGCACUCUAAGGUGACUGCCGGUGACAAACCGGAGGAAGGUGGGGAUGACGUCAAAUCAUCAUGCCCCUUAUGACCUGGGCUACACACGUGCUACAAUGGACGGUACAAAGAGCUGCAAGACCGCGAGGUGGAGCUAAUCUCAUAAAACCGUUCUCAGUUCGGAUUGUAGGCUGCAACUCGCCUACAUGAAG